GAAAAAGAGAAGAGCUGGCUUAGAGCUCCCCUCUUAACUUGGUUGGCCAGUUGGCCUCUUUGAUGUUAACUAGCGUUGCUGGAUCCAUGUGGCCGGAGAGCCCGCUUCUCCGGGACGUCGGCGCUGCCGUGCUCACCGUAGGUGCCGGCAUGGCGGUGCUCGGCUUCUGGGAGGAGGUCGGCCACCGCGGCCUCUUGGACCGAGUAAGCUCUGCUCACCAUCUAAAUAAUACCUUUUUUUUUGUUUUUGUUUUUGUUUUUCUUCUCUUCCGGAUUGAUGAUUGUUUUGAUUUGCGCGGACAAAUUCUGAAGGUUUCCAUGCAAAUUAUUAAUGAGAAGUUGGUUGGUAUCUGGCAAUCUGCCUGUCUGUUGCUCUGCAUUUUCAGGAACUUUGCAGGAAGCUGGUGCACAUAAGCGCCGGGCUGGUAUAUUUCCUUAGGCCUUGUUUGGUAGACAGGGCUUUGAGGGGCUUUGGGGGGCUUAUCCCUAUUGGGCUUAAAAGCCCCAAAAUUCCCUAAGUUCUUGUUUGGCGUACAGGGCUUGACCGGGCCGGCCCCCCUAGAUCCCCUAAAAUCCCCCUCAAUCCACGGGGCUUCUGCGCAUCGAGGGGGAGCUCGCGGCUUUCCUGGAACGUGACGAGACGGAAGAAAGCAGCCGCAAGAACAACCGCAAUAGAAGCUGCCGCCGAUGUUGCCAUAGCGCCGCAGCCGCCGCCGUCGCCGUCGCCAUUAGCGCACCGCCGCCGCCGUCGCCGUCAACACCACCGCCGCCGCCGCCGCCAUCGCCGUCGGCUUCCUCUUCUUCUCCGGCAAGCUGCUCUCGCCGGAGAGGAAGGGGCUUGGGCUAGAAGGGGCUUUGAUGAAUGGAAGGGGAUUUGAGGGGAUUGGUGGAGGGCAGGGAAUCACCAAAUCCCCAAAAAUCCCCAGCCCCUUACGGGCUUGAAAACCACCUGUGCCAAACAAAGCCUUAUGGGGCCUUUGUUCAGGUAAACCAGACCACCAACGAAGUUCUUCAUUUGGCAUAAAGUGUGUGUACUACCUUUCUAACAAUUCUUACCCAAUCCCCAUCGCAGUGGAGAUGUCUAUGCUCCAUUUCUUGCUUCAGUUGUCAUUGUACUCAACAUCAUAAAGGUGACCUUGGUUGGCCUUGGUGUAGUUAAAAGAUGAUGACGUGGUUAACUCAAUGA